rnacentral:rRNA from 1 species
ACACGGAGGGCGCAAGCGUUGCUCGGAAUCACUGGGCGUAAAGCGGGUGUAGGCGGUCUAGCAAGUCAGAUGUGAAAGCCCACGGCUCAACCGUGGAAGUGCAUCUGAAACUGCUAGACUAGAGUGCCGGAGAGGGAAGUGGAAUUCCUGGUGUAGGGGUGAAAUCCGUAGAUAUCAGGAGGAACACCGGUGGCGAAGGCGACUUCCUGGACGGCCACUGACGCUGAGACCCGAAAGCGUGGGGAGCAAACAGGAUUAGAAACCCUAGUAGUCC